GACGAACGCUGGCGGCGUGCCUAAUACAUGCAAGUAGAACGCACAGUUUAUACCGUAGCUUGCUACACCAUAGACUGUGAGUUGCGAACGGGUGAGUAACGCGUAGGUAACCUGCCUGGUAGCGGGGGAUAACUAUUGGAAACGAUAGCUAAUACCGCAUAAUAUUAAUUAUUGCAUGAUAAUUAAUUGAAAGGUGCAAUUGCACCACUACCAGAUGGACCUGCGUUGUAUUAGCUAGUAGGUGAGGUAACGGCUCACCUAGGCGACGAUACAUAGCCGACCUGGGAGGGUGAUCGGCCACACUAGGACUGAGACACGGCCCAGACUCCUACGGGAGGCAGCAGUAGGGAAGCUUCGGAAAGGGACGAAAGACUGACCGAGAAACGCCGCGUGAGUGAAGAAGGUUUUCGGAUCGUAAAGCUCUGUUGUAAGAGAAGAACGGGGGUGAGAGUGGAAAGUUCACACUGUGACGGUAUCUUACCAGAAAGGGACGGCUAACUACGUG
rnacentral:rRNA from 1 species